rnacentral:lncRNA from 1 species
CCAUGUCACUGUAACCAUGACAACAAGGUAGCACCAGAGGGCAGUAGAACAGCAGACUGUAACCAUGACAACAAGGCGGCACCAGAGGGCAGUAGAACAGCAGACUGUAACCAUGACAACAAGGCAGCACCAGAGGGCAGUAGAACAGCAGACUGUAACUAUGACAACAAGGCAGCACCAGAGGGCAGUAGAACAGCAGACUGUAACCAUGACAACAAGGCAGCACCAGAGGGCAGCAGAACAGCAGACUGUAACCAUGACAACAAGGCAGCACCAGAGGGCAGUAGAACAGCAGACUGUAACCAUGACAACAAGGUAGCACCAGAGGGCAGUAGAACAGCAGACUGUAACCAUGACAACAAGGCAGCACCAGAGAGCAGUAGAACAGCAGACUGUAACCAUGACAACAAGGCAGCACCAGAGGGCAGUAGAACAGCAGACUGUAACCAUGACAAUAAGGCAACACCAGAGGGCAGUAGAACAGCAGACUGUAACCAUGACAACAAGGUAGCACCAGAGGGCAGUAGAACAGCAGACUGUAACCAUGACAACAAGGCAACACCAGAGGGCAGUAGAACAGCAGACUGUAACCAUGACAACAAGGCAGCACCAGAGGGCAGUAGAACAGCAGACUGUAACCAUGACAACAAGGCAGCACCAGAGAGCAGUAGAACAGCGGCAUGUAACCAUGACAACAAGGUAGCACCAGAGGGCAGUAGAACAGCAGACUGUAACCAUGACAACAAGGUAGCACCAGAGGGCAGUAGAACAGCAGACUGUAACCAUGACAACAAGGCAGCACCCGAGGGCAGUAGAACACCAGACUGUAACCAUGACAACAAGGCAGCACCAGAGGGCAGUAGAACAGCAGACUGUAACCAUGACAAUAAGGCAGCACCAGAGGGCAGUAGAACAGCAGACUGUAACCAUGACAACAAGGUAGCACCAGAGGGCAGUAGAACAGCAGACUGUAACCAUGACAACAAGGUAGCACCAGAGGGCAGUAGAACAGCAGACUGUAACCAUGACAACAAGGCAACACCAGAGGGCAGUAGAACAGCAGACUGUAACCAUGACAACAAGGCAGCACCAGAGGGCAGUAGAACAGCAGACUGUAACCAUGACAAUAAGGUAGCACCAGAGGGCAGUAGAACAGCAGACUGUAACCAUGACAAUAAGGCAGCACCAAAGUGCAGUAGAACAGCAGACUGUAACCAUGACAAUAAGGCAGCACCAGAGGGCAGUAGGACAUGA